rnacentral:lncRNA from 1 species
CAGUGACUCAUCCAGAGCAACAUCCAAUCCUGAAAACUCCAUGCAUGGAGGGGUAAGAAGAAGCAGAGUGUCACCGGGUAAGAGUCGACAGUUUUGAAGACUCGUAGCUGUGAAUCUUUCAGGAAAUAAUCCAGAACAGUCUCCUCACUGGACAGGAAAGGAAACCUGUCCUAGAGAGGCGAAUCCUCUGUCAUGGACGCGUGCACAGCUAAUGGUCA